AUUAUUAAAGAGCUUAAUAUUGUGAGUAAAUAUUAAUUACGAAAACAUAAAAUUAUGGCGGUACUUUAAGCUUUUCAGAGGAAUUUGCUCUUUAAUGGAUAAAACACCUAAAUCUUACUAAAAUUAGUUAAAUCAGUUUGUAUACCACUAUAUAAGUAAUAAUUUGUUAUUAUUUCUAUAAAUAUUUAUUUUUAUAAAUAAAUAUAUUAAGUCAUGGUGCAGCAUAAAUUUUAGUAUGAAGUGAAUUACAUUUCUUUUUAGAAAAUUUUUUAAAUAUUUAAAAAAUUAAGAAUUUAGAAUUUGAAAGUAAAAAUGCAAUAAAAUGGCAUUUUGAAUUAAGUUCUAAAGUAUGUAC
rnacentral:rRNA from 1 species